rnacentral:rRNA from 1 species
CAGUCGCCGCGGUAAUACGUAGGUGGCAAGCGUUGUCCGGAAUUAUUGGGCGUAAAGGGCUCGCAGGCGGUUUCUUAAGUCUGAUGUGAAAGCCCCCGGCUCAACCGGGGAGGGUCAUUGGAAACUGGGAAACUUGAGUGCAGAAGAGGAGAGUGGAAUUCCUAGUGUAGCGGUGAAAUGCGUAGAGAUUAGGAGGAACACCAGUGGCGAAGGCGGCUUUUUGGCCUGUAACUGACACUGAGGCGCGAAAGCGUGGGGAGCAAACAGGAUUAGAUACCCCUGUAGUCCCUGUCUCUUAUAC